rnacentral:rRNA from 1 species
AGCUUGAUCCUGGCUCAGAACGAACGCUGGCGGCGUGCCUAACACAUGCAAGUCGAACGGGAUUAAGGGGCUUGCCUCUUAAUUUAGUGGCGCACGGGUGAGUAACGCGUGGAUAACCUGCCCUGGUAUCCGGGAUAACACCUCGAAAGGGGUGCUAAUACGGGAUAAGCCCACGGGGUCUUCGGACCUUGCGGGAAAAGGUGGCCUCUGAAUAUGCUGCCGUAUCAGGAUGGGUCCGCGUACCAUUAGCUAGUUGGUAGUGUAAUGGACCACCAAGGCUACGAUGGUUAGCUGGUCUGAGAGGAUGAUCAGCCACACUGGAACUGAGACACGGUCCAGACUCCUACGGGAGGCAGCAGUGGGGAAUUUUGCGCAAUGGGGGUAACCCUGACGCAGCAACGCCGCGUGAGUGAUGAAGGCCUUCGGGUCGUAAAGCUCUGUCAGAGGGAAAGAAGUGUAGCAUGGUUAAUACCCAUACUACUUGACGGUACCCUCAAAGGAAGCACCGGCUAACUCCGUGCCAGCAGCCGCGGUAAUAC